UAAGUUUUUUCUCUUUGCUGAAGGAUAUUUCAAUGGUAGAAGUUGUGUUUUCUACCACAACUGGGGAUGAAGCAGACUGGAAACUUCUCAAGGAAGCUCUGUUUGUGCAGACUGUGACUUUGCCUGCUGAUCCCUGAGGAGCUGCCGCUGAACGCCUCGGUGGGCAGAGCGCCAAGUCCCCUCCAUCGGGAAGGGGAGGGAAAGGAGGAGGAAGAGGAGGAGGAGGAGGAGGAGCAGGAGCAGGGCCAUUGCGCAUGAUCUUUUCGAGGCCUGGACCCCCAGCUAGUCUGCAGGCCGGAGCUGCGGGAACGUGGGUCCUGCCCAGUGUGUGCUGCAAGGCGAGAGGAAGGAAGGAAAGGACAUAAAGGGGGGCGAGAGAGGUCGGUAUUGCACAGCCCCCCUCUGGUACCAUCCUCCCAAUCCACCCACCCUCCCUCCGAGCAUCGCCCCCCAGCCGGGAGAGGUAAUCGUGGAGGGUGAGGUCUGGAGCCGGUGAUGCCCCUGCCCUUGUUUAAGUUAAAUUGCCAGAGCUUCUUCUCUUAGGGGGGAAAAAAAGAAAUGCUUGAUCUACGGCGCUGUCAAUUUCAAGUGUUUAAAGAGAAGCAAAAGCAGAGAUUUUAAGCUGCUUUGCCCAGCACCCAUUCAUCAUGCAUCAGGGAUUUUAAAGUUUCAUGGUGGCUGCGGUUUAACAUCUCAACUCUCUGACACAGGAAUCAGGGAAAUUGCUGAACAGACAGAGCCACCCCAGGGAUCAUGUCGACAAGGAAGAAAUAAAAUGCCCCUUUCUAUGUAUGA